AUUGAACGCUGGCGGCAGGCCUAACACAUGCAAGUCGAGCGGAUGAGUGGAGCUUGCUCCAUGAUUCAGCGGCGGACGGGUGAGUAAUGCCUAGGAAUCUGCCUGGUAGUGGGGGACAACGUUUCGAAAGGAACGCUAAUACCGCAUACGUCCUACGGGAGAAAGUGGGGGAUCUUCGGACCUUACGCUAUCAGAUGAGCCUAGGUCGGAUUAGCUAGUUGGUGAGGUAAAGGCCCACCAAGGCGACGAUCCGUAACUGGUCUGAGAGGAUGUUCAGUCACACUGGAACUGAGACACGGUCCAGACUCCUACGGGAGGCAGCAGUGGGGAAUAUUGGACAAUGGGCGAAAGCCUGAUCCAGCCAUGCCGCGUGUGUGAAGAAGGUCUUCGGAUUGUAAAGCACUUUAAGUUGGGAGGAAGGGCAGUAAGUUAAUACCUUGCUGUUUUGACGUUACCAACAGAAUAAGCACCGGCUAACUUCGUGCCAGCCGCCGCAGUAACAC
rnacentral:rRNA from 1 species